rnacentral:rRNA from 1 species
CCUACGGGGGGCUGCAGUGGGGAAUAUUGGACAAUGGGCGAAAGCCUGAUCCAGCCAUGCCGCGUGUGUGAAGAAGGCCUUCGGGUUGUAAAGCACUUUCAGUGGGGAAGAAAGCCUUGGGGCUAAUACCCUCGAGGAAGGACAUCACCCACAGAAGAAGCACCGGCUAACUCCGUGCCAGCAGCCGCGGUAAUACGGAGGGCGCGAGCGUUAAUCGGAAUUACUGGGCGUAAAGCGCGCGUAGGCGGUCUGAUAAGCCGGUUGUGAAAGCCCCGGGCUCAACCUGGGAACGGCAUCCGGAACUGUCAGGCUAGAGUGCAGGAGAGGAAGGUAGAAUUCCCGGUGUAGCGGUGAAAUGCGUAGAGAUCGGGAGGAAUACCAGUGGCGAAGGCGGCCUUCUGGACUGACACUGACGCUGAGGUGCGAAAGCGUGGGUAGCAAACAGGAUUAGAUACCCGUGUAGUC